UUGAAGCAAGUGGGGACAGCAGACUGGGAUAGGGAGAGAUUGAAUAUGUCUGUGAAACGGCUGGUUUGCGCAUGUUUUGAGGACGUGGAUAGGGAUACCGUCUGUACUGGCAUCCUUGCAAGGGUUGACACAUUUAAAUGUCUUACUCAAGUUGGCCAUGGAGAAGGAGAGCCCACAGUCCUUGGUAGAGGGACACGUCGGUGGCACUGUGUUAUCCUUAAAGCGGGGGAAGAAGGUGUUUAGCUUGCCCGGAAGCAAGAUAUCGGUGUCCGUGACGUGGCUGGUUUUGCCUUUGUAGUGCGUGAUUGUCUGUAGACCCUGGCACAUACGUCUCAUGUCUGAGCCAUUGAAUUGCGUCUUCACUUUCUCUGUACUGACGUUUUGCCUGUUUGAUUGCCUUACGGCGGGAAUAACUACACUGUUUGUGUUUGGCCAUAUUCCCAGUCACCUUGUCACGGUUAAAUGCUGUUGUUCGUGCUUUCAGUUUUGUGCGAAUGCUGCGAUCUAUCCACAGUUUCUGGUUUGGGUAUGUUUUAAUAGUCACAGUGGGUACAACAUCUCUUAUGCACUUCCUGAUGAACUCAGUCACCGUAUCCGUUUAUUCGUCAAUGUUAUUCUCAGAGGCUACCCGGAAUAUAUCCCAGCCCGCAUGAUCAAAACAAUCUUGAACCAUGGAUUCCGAUUGGUUAGACCAGUGUUGAGUAGACCUUAGCACGGGUACUUCCUGUAUGAGUUUCUGCCUAUAGGAAGGGAUAUAAUUGAGUCGUGAUCAGAUUUUCAAUGUGUUGGUAGAACUUCAGUAGCCUUUUCCUCAGAUUAGUGUUUUUUUUCAUCCCCAGCUACAAUAAAUGCGUCCUCAGGAUAUGUGGUUUCCAGUUUGCAUAAAGUCCAGUGUAGUUCUUUGAGGGCUGUCGUAGUAUCGGCUUGAGGGGGAGUAUACUUGGCUGUGACUAUAACUGAAGAGAAUUCUCUUGGGAGGUAAUACGGUGGGCAUUUCAUUAUGAGGUAUUCUUGGUUGGGUGAACAAAAGGACUUGAGUUUCUGUAUGUUAUCACACAAUGAGUAGUUAAUCAUGAAACAUACACCCCUGCCUUUCUUCUUCACAGAGAGUUCUUUAUUCCUAUCUGCGCGAUGUACUGAGAUCCCAGCUGGCUGUAUGGACAGGGACAGUAUAUCCCGAGAGAGCCAUGUUUCCGUGAAACGGAAUAUGUUACAAUCCCUGAUGCCUCUCUGGAAGAAGAUCCUUGCCCUGAGCUCAUCUACUUUAUUACCCAGAGACUGAACAUUAGCCAGUAAUAUACUCAGAAGCGGUGGAUGGAGUGCACGCCUCCUGAGUCGGACUAGAAGUCCACUCCGCAUACCUCUUCUCCACCAGUGGUGUUUUGGAGCAGCCUCUGGAAUAGGGUUAAAUUACCCUUGGGGGUACAAACAAAGGUUCCAAUUUGGGAAAGUCGUAUUCCUGGUCGUAAUGCUGGUUGUGAUAGUCUCACAGACUGCCUGAAGGUGCAGUCAAAGACCAUAGAGACUACCCCCUCCAGACCUAACCCCAGCAUCUCAGACCUCCAGUCCAGGCUGGGCACCACCAGCUCGGGCCACGGCCAGCACCCCGCCAGCAGACCCUCCGACCACCACCUCCACUACGACUCAAUGGUCCACAGCUACUCCCUCAACCCAGCCACUCCAACCCCGGUAGGGUCUAACAACUCGACUGGCGCCGACCCUCAUCCCUUGCCGCCGCAGACCAUGUACUGCCACCACACCUCCGACUCCCAGAGGUCACUGUGUGGUGAGCUGGAUCCUCUCUUCAUCCGCAAGGUCACGGCUGCAGAACUAGUCUGUGGGGAGAGUAAGUACAAGUGCUCAGGCUGCCUGAGGUACUACGAUCACCUGGGGACCCUGCUGGGUCAUAUCGACCAGGGCUGGAGAGAGGGCUUCAGCUGCAGGGUGUUCUACAGGAAGCUGAAGAGCAUGCAGGACCGCAGGCCCAUGGUCAUGAUGAGUUGCCAGAGCAGGGAGUCUCUUGCCAUGGAUAACGACCCUAAGCCCUCCAGCUCCUCCACCACAUACCUGGGGUCGGCCUCGCUGGUUCUGGCACCCCAGCCCACCGACAGCGUCGGGAGGAAGGGUCUUGAGACAAGCGAUAAGAAGGGAGACAUGAUCCAAAAGUGGCUGCAGAAGACAGAAGUGACAGCAUCACUUCACUGAGGCAGUUUUGUAUGAGUUGGUUGGAGAAUGUGUGUACUGUAGUAUUGUUGCUGGGUUGUCUAGAACUGACAGGGUGUUAACUUGUCAAAAAUAAAUACAAAAAAUAAUACACAAACAUAAUGUACUGUAGGUUACUUCUUCUUUAAAUGUGUUUUACUCAGAAAUGAGGAAAUCUGAAAUUAUCUUAAUUUAAGAGAUGAAAAGAGGUUUUCAUUCACCAAGGUUCAAAUCACCAUGCCCAUCUUCCAUGUCACUGUCUUACAUCAGAUAGUGCAACAAUUCCUUCUGCACUGACGAUUGAGGAAUGACGCCACCUGUCAGAAGACAAUGCUUCCAUGUAGAUGGCACUGCUUGUAUGACGUUUAUGACGUCACACAUGUAUUUAUUUUGGUGAUGGAGAGAUGAGAACAGUCAGAACACAUAUCCCACUUGCUCACCAAAAUUUAGUCUGCUGAUCUUCUUACCUCAAAGCCAAUGGACACGACAAAGCCAAUCAAAUGAAGUAUGUUUGAUUCCCAAAGCAGAUGACAAAGUAUUGACAAGCCUGUGUCGUAGAUGUACAUUUAUUCAAAUCUUUUGGCAAAAAAUAGGGAGACACUCAAAUGUGAUUACUUCAUUAACAUUACAUGCAGUGCCUUAGGAUUUUAUUCAUACCUCUGAGAAAUGUGUGAGCAUACAAGACUAGAAUAUAAAACCUAAAAGAAAUAUGAACAAGUCCAAUGAUCCAGUUCCAUGUGCUAAACAUUUAACAUGAAAGGUUGGUGUGUAGAGAAAAAAAAAAAAAAAAUCUUCUCACAACUGCUGUAGUUUGUGAAUUUGGAGUCUCCUCUGACAGAACAACAUUGACA
ensembl:lncRNA